UAGUUUUACUGUCACAACACAGCACAGGUGGGGGAUAUUUGAAGUAGCCAGUUGUUGCUGGAGGGAGAAGGAGCCAGUCAGAGCGCACGACGAGACGUGGCUGGUAGCAGUCAGUCAACGAGGGUAAUAUCCCGGUGUGAGCCAGGGCACGGGCAUACAGAGCGAGAGGAGGACACUUUACAUUAGGCUGGCUACCUCCUGUGUUACAAAUUCAUAUAUGAAGAAAAGCAAUCAGGUGGUCCUGAAUGGCGAAUAAAAGGUGAAUAAAACGGUUCCAUGAUGGAGACAUUUUCAUUUGUAAUUUCGGAGACAUUUCUUCCCAUUCUUUCCCAGAAGUGACGCAACAUCAACACUCCCAGUAAACUGGACACAGGAAUAUUUGUUGUGUUACAAGAGCUACGCCAGAGCACCCAGACAGACCAAGUCUCAACGAACAGGUUACUGAUUACAUGAUUUUAUUAUGGGUUUUCAUUGAGCUAUUACAAAUGAAGAUGAAAACCAUGGAGGGUUAGAGACGGUUGGCAAGGACACAGGAGAGGCCUCAUGGGAGGAACAAAACGGGAUAAGAAUUGUGACGACUGACUGAGCAAAAGAAGAAUACGUCAGAGAAAGAAGGAAAGAGAGAAGGAUUGUGUGUUCUCUACUUUCUCAGAAGUGCAGCUCCUAAAUUCCUGUUACUAUGCCUGAGAGAGGGAGGGCAGCAGACCAGUCAAAAUGAACCCCUACGUCACCUCUCACUUUAGGAGGGAUCUCUUUCCCCACUUCCACUUGUUGUAGAGGCUUUUCUUCUCCCCUCUCUUACUGUUUGUGUGACAUGACAACACCUGUCUCUGUGUAAACCUAGGACAGUAGGUAACACCUGUCUCUGUGUAAACCUAGGACAGUAGGUAACACCUGUCUCUGUGUAAACCUAGGACAGUAGGUAACACCU